AUGUCAUCUCCGGCCUCCCCUGGGGGGAGUCGGGAGAUGGUGCCCACGCCGCGGGGCUCAAGCUGGUUCUGGGAAGUGGGCGGUGGCGGCGACUGGCUGGAGGGCGUAGCCGCGGAGUCAGAGCGCUGGGAGCUGCGGGUGCUGGGCGGCCACCUGAAAACAGUGCUGGAGGCGUAUGUGGCGGCGCUGCGCCGCGGGGCCCCGGCCAGGCCCGAGUGCCUCGGCACCCUGGUGGACUGCCUGGUGUUCAACUACCGGCUCCGCCACGGGCUGGGCUGGAGCGCAGCCCCAGCUGCGGGCGCGGGCGCGGGCGCCGGCGGCAGCCUCAGCUGCCUGGGCUGCCAGGGCUUCCUGAGCGAGCCGGUGACCGUGCCCUGCGGCCACAGCUCCUGCCGCCGCUGCCUGCGGAGAGAGCUCCGCGCCCGCUGCCGCCUGUGCCGGGACCGGCUGCCUCCCGCCGCCGCCAGUGCCACCGAUGCCGAGGGGACCGGCCCGCGGCCGCCGCCGUCUCCGCCUCGGACUUCAGAACCAGCGUCGUCCUCAGCCACCGGGCCGAGAAAUGGUUCCCCGGCCAGCGUGAGCGGGCGCGGGCGGCCGGCCGGCUCGGGGAGCUGCUGCACCAGGGCCGCUACCGGGAGGCCCUGGCUGCCGCCUGCGAGGCGCUGCGAGCAGAGCCCAGUGACUGGAUUCUAAAAAUUUAUACAGCAGAAUCAUAUGCUGGUCUCCAAGAGUAUAAAGCAGCCAUUGAAGAUUUAAAUGCAGUUCUCUUCCAACUUCCAGAUUGGCCUGAGGUCUACUUCAGGAAGGGAAAAGUGCUCCACGAUGCUGGUUUUUUAGGUGAUGCCUUACGACUCUUUCUUCAGUGCUUAACCCUUGAUGAAGAUUUUGCCCCUGCAAAGCUACAAGUAGAAAAGAUUUUAUGUGAUUUAUUAUCACCUGAAAACUUAAAAGAAGGCCUGAAGGAACCUUCUUGGAGUUCAUUACCAGGUACUAAAAACAAGCCUUUUGGUUUUCCUUCAGUAAUGGAAGAGUCUCCGUCUCCCAGUGAGCUUAGCCCAAAGCAGAAUGAAGAAAUACCAGAGGUCACAUCAGAGCAUGUCAAAGGAAGCUUAAACCGUGCUCAAUCAGCACAGUCUAUAAACUCAACAGCCUACCCGAGAGGAUUGUUUAAAAAGUGUGUCCUCAGAACCUUUACUGUCUGUUCGGGGAAAAGGUGUUCUGCUGAAAAGAAAGUUGUCCCUUUUAGAACAGGAUGUGAUUGUGAAUGAAGAUGGAGGAAAUAAGCUUAAAAAACAAGGUGAAACUCCCAAUGAAGUCUGUAUGUUUUCAUUAGCUUAUGGCGAUAUUCCAGAAGAACGAAUAGAUGCCUCAGAUUUUGAGUGCUCUCUUUGCAUGAGGUUGUUUUUUGAGCCAGUGACAACCCCUUGUGGACAUUCGUUCUGUAAGAAUUGUCUUGAGCGUUGUUUAGAUCAUGCGCCAUAUUGUCCUCUUUGCAAAGAAAGUUUAAAAGAGUAUCUAGCUGAUAGGAGGUACUGUGUCACACAGCUGCUGGAAGAAUUAAUAGUGAAGUAUCUGCCUGAUGAACUGUCUGAGAGAAAAAAAAAUAUAUGAUGAAGAAACUGCUGAACUCUCACACUUGACCAAGAAUGUUCCAAUAUUUGUUUGCACUAUGGCCUAUCCCACUGUGCCUUGCUCUCUUCAUGUAUUUGAGCCAAGAUACAGACUGAUGAUUCGAAGAAGUAUACAAACUGGAACCAAACAGUUUGGGAUGUGUGUCAGUGAUGCACAGAGCAGUUUUGCAGAUUAUGGUUGUAUGUUACAAAUUAGAAAUGUACAUUUCUUGCCUGAUGGAAGGUCUGUGGUUGAUACAGUUAGAGGAAAGCGGUUUCGGGUUUUAAACAGAGAAAUGAAAGAUGGAUAUUGCACUACAGACAUCAAAUAUCUGGAAGAUGUAAAGGUGGAAAAUGAAGAUGAGAUUAAGAAUCUCACAGAACUUCAUGAUUUGGUAUACUCUCAAGCCUGCAGCUUGUUUCAAAAUUUAAGAGAUAGAUUUCGAAGCCAAAUUCAGCACUUUGGAUCAAUGCCCGAAAGGGAGGAAAACCUUCGGGCAACUCCUAAUGGACCUGCAUGGUGUUGGUGGCUUCUAGCAGUUCUUCCUGUAGAUCCCCGCUACCAGCUGUCAGUUUUGUCAAUGAAGUCUUUGAAAGAACAGUUGACAAAGAUACAGCAUAUACUAACCUAUUUUUCUAGAGACCAAUCUAAGUAACUAACUGCUUGGAUGUUCCUUUACAGUUACCCCAGUCUGGCUGUGUUGAUGGCCAGAUUGUCCGCUGCCUUUGCACAUCCAGUGCUGGUUUCAGAAAUGUAAUGAAACUUUUUUUUUCUUCAACCUCCUGAAUCAUGUGGUUCUGCAAAUGAAUACCUU